rnacentral:rRNA from 1 species
GUUUGGUCCUAGCCUUACUGUCAAGUCUUACUUAACUUACACAUGCAAGUCUCCGCACCCCGGUGAGAACGCCCUAAAACUCCUUCUAGGAUAACGGAGCUGGUAUCAGGCUCAACCUGUUUGCCCACGACACCUAGCCACGCCACACCCCCAAGGGAACUCAGCAGUGAUUAACAUUAAAAAUUAGCGACAGCUAGAUUUAGUUAAAGUAAUUAGGGCUGGCAAAUCUGGUGCCAGCCGCCGCGGCUACACCACGAAACCCAAUUUGACAGUCAUCGGCGUAAAGCGUGAUUAAAGCGCACAAUAAUACUAGAGUUAAAUCUUAGCUAUACUGUGAUAAGUUUGCUACUUAGAAACCCAAGAACGAAAGUCACUCUAUUUUCCCCACUUGAACUCACGACAGCUGAGAAACAAACUGAGAUUAGAUACCUCACUAUGCUCAGCCGUAAACCCUUUAAUUACCCACCCAAUC